rnacentral:rRNA from 1 species
AUACAUGCAGUCGAGCGAACAGACGAGGAGCUUGCUCCUCUGACGUUAGCGGCGGACGGGUGAGUAACACGUGGAUAACCUACCUAUAAGACUGGGAUAACUUCGGGAAACCGGAGCUAAUACCGGAUAAUAUAUUGAACCGCAUGGUUCAAUAGUGAAAGACGGUUUUGCUGUCACUUAUAGAUGGAUCCGCGCCGCAUUAGCUAGUUGGUAAGGUAACGGCUUACCAAGGCAACGAUGCGUAGCCGACCUGAGAGGGUGAUCGGCCACACUGGAACUGAGACACGGUCCAGACUCCUACGGGAGGCAGCAGUAGGGAAUCUUCCGCAAUGGGCGAAAGCCUGACGGAGCAACGCCGCGUGAGUGAUGAAGGUCUUCGGAUCGUAAAACUCUGUUAUUAGGGAAGAACAAAUGUGUAAGUAACUAUGCACGUCUUGACGGUACCUAAUCAGAAAGCCACGGCUAACUACGUGCCAGCAGCCGCGGUAAUACGUAGGUGGCAAGCGUUAUCCGGAAUUAUUGGGCGUAAAGCGCGCGUAGGCGGUUUUUUAAGUCUGAUGUGAAAGCCCACGGCUCAACCGUGGAGGGUCAUUGGAAACUGGAAAACUUGAGUGCAGAAGAGGAAAGUGGAAUUCCAUGUG